AUUGAACGCUGGCGGCAGGCCUAACACAUGCAAGUCGAGCGGAUGAAGGGAGCUUGCUCCUGGAUUCAGCGGCGGACGGGUGAGUAAUGCCUAGGAAUCUGCCUGGUAGUGGGGGAUAACGUCCGGAAACGGGCGCUAAUACCGCAUACGUCCUGAGGGAGAAAGUGGGGGAUCUUCGGACCUCACGCUAUCAGAUGAGCCCAGGUCGGAUUAGCUAGUUGGUGGGGUAAAGGCCUACCAAGGCGACGAUCCGUAACUGGUCUGAGAGGAUGAUCAGUCACACUGGAACUGAGACACGGUCCAGACUCCUACGGGAGGCAGCAGUGGGGAAUAUUGGACAAUGGGCGAAAGCCUGAUCCAGCCAUGCCGCGUGUGUGAAGAAGGUCUUCGGAUUGUAAAGCACUUUAAGUUGGGAGGAAGGGCAGUAAGUUAAUACCUUGCUGUUUUGACGUUACCGACAGAAUAAGCACCGGCUAACUUCGUG
rnacentral:rRNA from 1 species